CUUACGGGGGUCUUGUCUUCUGCCAUUGGUGAGACGGAGCCCUGGGCUAGGGGCACCCUUUGGUCUGACACAGGUAGGCACCUCCCAUGUUCUGCAUUCCUGCCUUACAGUAGUAGACAAGAAUCAAAGCCUUGGACUAUCAUUUUCCAGCAUGACAAGAAUGGUACUUACUGAAAUGAUACUCAGCCAGCUGAGAAGGUCUGUCGGUUUGGGUAAAUCAGAACUUUUUUUGCACUAGUAAGGAUGUGCCAAUGCCCUGGAACCAGGCUGAAGGUUGCAUCUUCAUGAAGGCGGCAUGAGGGGGAGCAGUGGUGAUUGCUGUCAUCUAUGUGAGACUCCUGGCUGUACCUCCGAGACCUGUAUCUCACUUUCAGGUGUUGCUUUAAGUGGCCUGCAGGCUUAGACAGUGGUGGCAGGGAGCUGUGAGUCAGUCAGCAUGACUCUUGAAUCAUGUGCCAGUGCUACCUGGUUUAUGGAGAGCUCUUCUGUUACUCAGUUUUCUUAUAAAACAAGUUAAGUUAGAAGCUAGUAUUUAAGUUAAAAUGAUCAAGAAAUGUUUUUAAGAACUGCAUUUCUUCUGCUUUUUCUGACAAACCAUAUGCACACAUUUUUAAGUGUUAAGAGAUUUUGAUUUCAAAUCAUGUUAUUAAAAAUACCUCCUUGUCUAUUGGCCCAAAGAAAAGAAACCUUGAAAACUUCAUAAGGGCUUGUAUUAUUAUACAGGUUGGAAUGGGCGCAUAUAGACUUAUUUUAGUUUAUAUAAAUCAACUGUAUGUGAUCUGUUUUGGACCAAAACAGUGUCCCAGAUAUCUAAUACUAUGUAUUUUAUCAGGAGAAAAAAAUAUUAGCUCUUUCUUCUAGUGAGAUUUUUCAGGCUGUCUGUAACCCUAAUAAAUACACUAACGUGAAUUUGAAGUAAUAAAAGUAUUGAUAAUACCA